rnacentral:rRNA from 1 species
UACGUAGGGUGCAAGCGUUGUCCGGAAUUAUUGGGCGUAAAGAGCUCGUAGGCGGUUUGUCGCGUCUGCUGUGAAACCCGAGGCUCAACCUCGGGCCUGCAGUGGGUACGGGCAGACUAGAGUGCGGUAGGGGAGAUUGGAAUUCCUGGUGUAGCGGUGGAAUGCGCAGAUAUCAGGAGGAACACCAAUGGCGAAGGCAGAUCUCUGGGCCGUAACUGACGCUGAGACGCGAAAGCGUGGGGAGCAAACAGG